rnacentral:rRNA from 1 species
ACACAUGCAAGUCGAGGGGCAGCAUGGUCUUAGCUUGCUAAGGCCGAUGGCGACCGGCGCACGGGUGAGUAACACGUAUCCAACCUGCCGUCUACUCUUGGACAGCCUUCUGAAAGGAAGAUUAAUACAAGAUGGCAUCAUGAGUUCACAUGUUCACAUGAUUAAAGGUAUUCCGGUAGACGAUGGGGAUGCGUUCCAUUAGAUAGUAGGCGGGGUAACGGCCCACCUAGUCUUCGAUGGAUAGGGGUUCUGAGAGGAAGGUCCCCCACAUUGGAACUGAGACACGGUCCAAACUCCUACGGGAGGCAGCAGUGAGGAAUAUUGGUCAAUGGGCGAGAGCCUGAACCAGCCAAGUAGCGUGAAGGAUGACUGCCCUAUGGGUUGCAAACUUCUUUUAUAAAGGAAUAAAGUCGGGUAUGCAUACCCGUUUGCAUGUACUUUAUGAAUAAGGAUCGGCUAACUCCGUGCCAGCAGCCGCGGUAAUACGGA